GCCGGGCAUGGUGGCGCAUGCCUGUAAUCCCAGCUACUUAGGAGGCUGAGGCAGGAGAAUCACUUGAACCCAGGAGGUGGAGGUUGCAGUGAGCUGAGAUCAUACCACUGCACUCCAGCCUGGGUGACAGAGCAAGACUCUAUCUCAA
rnacentral:SRP_RNA from 1 species